GAUGAACGCUGGCGGCGUGCCUAAUACAUGCAAGUCGAGCGAAUGGAUUAAGAGCUUGCUCUUAUGAAGUUAGCGGCGGACGGGUGAGUAACACGUGGGUAACCUGCCCAUAAGACUAGGAUAACUCCGGGAAACCGGGGCUAAUACCAGAUAACAUUAUGAACCGCAUGGUUCGAAAUUGAAAGGCGGCUUCGGCUGUCACUUAUGGAUGGACCCGCGUCGCAUUAGCUAGUUGGUGAGGUAACGGCUCACCAAGGCAACGAUGCGUAGCCGACCUGAGAGGGUGAUCGGCAACACUGGGACUGAGACACGGCCCAGACUCCUACGGGAGGCAGCAGUAGGGAAUCUUCCGCAAUGGACGAAAGUCUGACGGAGCAACGCCGCGUGAGUGAUGAAGGCUUUCGGGUCGUAAAACUCUGUUGUUAGGGAGGAACAAGUGCUAGUUGAAUAAGCUGGCACCUUGACGGUACCUAACCAGAAAGCCACGGCUAACUACGUGCCAGCAGCCGCCGUAA
rnacentral:rRNA from 1 species